GCCCCACAGUGAUGAGGGUGAUUAUGACUACUUCUGUGACAUGUAAGGCACCAAAAUUAGCAUGUGAGGUCGGACACGAGAGAAAGCAAGGGCACUGGACUGUCUGGAGGAUGUUUUAAGGUCACAGGCUUAGGAUGUUAAAGACUCAAGAUGACAUUAUUCCUACCUCAAAAUAACAACAGCUUCUACAUUGCACACCCACUGGCUACCAACCUUCCAUUAACAUGCAAUCAUUCCUAGGCUGCCUCAAAGACACAAGACAACAGCUGCACCUCCAGCAUUGCAUCUUCAUUCUCCACAGAGGACAGAAAAGGGCAAAGGUCACCCUGCUCCUCUCCUGGCCAUGGUGCUAGAGUCACUGGAGACCUGGCAGCUCUUCAGGUGGCAAAUUAGGCCAAGCUGCCACUGCGGUGCUGACCAGUUCAUCCUCCGGGCGGUGCUGACCAGUUCAUCCUCCGGGCGGUGCUGACCAGUCCAUCCUCCAGGCAGUGCUGACCAGUCCAUCCUCCGGGCGGUGCUGACCAGUCCAUCCUCCGGGCGGUGCUGACCAGUUCAUCCUCCGGGCGGUGCUGACCAGUUCAACAUCCGGGCGGUGCUGACCAGUUCAUCCUCCGGGCGGUGCUGACCAGUUCAUCCUCUGGGCAGUGCAGACCAGUUCAUCAUCCGGGCAGUGCCCGUCUAUCUGCUGAGAUCAACUCCCACUGCAGGGCUGUGCUGGUGUCUGGGCCGGGCACUGGCCCCUCACCCCAGCCCUGAGGGUUCACGAGGACUCAGCCUUCCUGGACUGGGUCGCACCUACUCUUCCUGACCUCAGCUGCCUGCCUCCAGCUCCAUGGGCUUUUGAAGACAAGGGACAAGAGAUUGCUGACUUCUGGAAGACCAGCUGUUGUUGGCGAGGGAAUCAGGGAGACCCUCUUCCUUUUUCUUGUCGAGGAUCCAGCCUGAGAGAACCUCCUUCAGCCUCUCUGGCAGGUUGUCCUGCCUCCUGGGUCCCACUGUCAAGAAGAGACGGGUUUGCUUUUGACUCUGACUUCACGCAGCUCAUAUGGUGCCUUCCACAGCAAGGAUUUCUCAGCUCCCCUGGGUCCUUCUCCCCCUCCCCAUGGUCACGGCCACCCUGCCGUCCAGGCAGUUUCCUUAGCAGCUUCCUGGGCCCCCGGCUGUAUGAAUUCCCUCCAAUGGGCUCUGAAGCCCUUGAUCUUUCUUUUCUCAGCAUUUAUCAUGGAGGGUGGAAGUGAACCAUCUGCCAACAGUCCUCUGCUUAGGCACACCAUGGGGCCAGGCUGGGCAUGUGAUGGUCACGGGCCUGUGUAGUGUCCCUGAAUAGGUAGCAAAUAAAAGAGUGUUCAUUCA